rnacentral:lncRNA from 1 species
GCCCCACCCGCGCCGCUGCCUCGCUGGGGCCCGGGCCCCCUUCCCGGUCCGAAGCCCCAGAGAGAUUGGUGAGGGUGAUUUCCCAGGAAGACGCAGUGUGCUCUGACUUCUGUGACAGUGAGCAACGGGACCAGUGGAUGUCCAGAUGCUGGCAAUGAGACAUGCUCUGGAGUCAGAAGACAGCGAAAAGAGAAGCAGAAGCCCCGGUGGCAAGAGUCUGAAGCUGGAAAGGAGGAGAACAUGAAACAUUGCUUGAAGACAAUGGCCGAGACAGCAGGUCCCACCCUGCACAGCCACCAGCAUCUCUCCCCUCAGCCCUGUCUCCUCUUCUGCAGUUGGGAUCUGCACAUUUAAGCCUGAAAUUGUCCUGUGAAGUGAAGUAUGAUCGGACAGCCUCUUUUCAGCUUUUAUGACAAUGGAGACAGAGGAAUUGUGGCUCUUGCCAAGGUCACAGGAUUGGAAUACAGAGCCAAGCCACCCCAGGACAUGCAAGAGCCUCAGAAGGGAAAAAAGCCCAGCAGGAAGGGAGAACAAGUAGCCUCUGUCCUGAAGUUGUAACAGCCAGGGGCCAGGAUGGAGGAGGAGGACCCCAUAAUCUGCCCAUCUGGGACUUGGCAGGGGACCUGGGAAAAUGUACCCCAACCCAUCCCUUAAGGGCCUUUGUCUUUGGCCCAUUGGCCUAGCAUCUACUUCUUCACCGUGUCUGUUCUUGUCACACCUAGUCAGGUCUGUUUGGGUCUGAGGUGCAUGGAACAUUCUGGGUAGGCCUCCAGCAAACGGAAGCUCUUCACCGUGUUUCCAGCCUGGGACCAAGGGCAGCAUACUGGCAAAGUUGCCAAAGCAAGGGACUCCAGCCUCUUAGGAGUUAAUGACUCCCUCUCCCCAGCUGUCCUCCCCUUGGUGCUCCUCUUCCUCCCUCCUCCUGCUCACAGCAGGCAGGGCCUAGACCCGGGAGCCAUGCUGCUGUGCUGUUGCCAGGGGAGCACGGAGGCAGAUCUGAGCUAUGCAGGGAAAAGGCCCAGCCUGUCAAAGUGUCUGAGAUGAACCGCCGCCGUCCCUGUGCAGCUGGGCUCAGACGUGUCUCAGCUCUUGUUCUGUGCCUGAGAAUGGCGAAACCCAGUGAGGUUCAAGGGCAAACUCGCUAUUCAUUAGUCAGGGGUUCUUGACGUCCCGUCUCUCCCAGGGAUGAGUUCCCCCCUCCUCUUUCUCCCCCUCCUAUGACACAUUCCUGGGUGCCUUUGGUGAGGACUGCACACCCUCCUCCUGCCUAGCCCCCUCUCCAAAGGCCCCUGAAUAAACUCCCCCCAAGGAGACCAGGCAGGGCAGAGACAAUGGCUGCAGGAAAUCAUUCAGGCGGGACAUGCUGGCCUGCCCUCCACCCAGUCCCCCUGUGGGCCCCACUCCCUUCUGAUUCAGGGCACCCUUGGGCCCCCAGCCUAUACAGGCCUGGACAGGAAGAAACCACUGGGAACCACCCUAAGGACAACAUGCUAGUCCAGUGCCAUUCUUCGCUGGCUCUGUGGGUGCCUUUGUGGCCUGUACCGACUGGCUGGCUAAUUUUGUGGUUUCUGUACCAUCACAUGCCUAUUUUAAGACACUCUCCAGCACUGUCGGUUAGGGAGUGUAAAUUUUGCAAUAUUUUCUGAAAUGUGGCAAUAUCAAAAUGUAAAAGGCACACAUACUUGGUCACAAACAAAUGGCACUAUUUACUCUGUGGGCAUAUUUGUAAAAGUUGCCAAAGAAUUAUAUACAAGGAUGUUCAUCAGAGCAUUUCUUUUGAAGAGUAAAGAAAUGGACAUGAACCUGUGGUCCGUUCAUACGGUGGAAUACCUAUGCAGCUGUAAAAAUCAGUGUGGUAGAUCUCCGUAUAUGAGUUGAUGUGGAAGGUUGGCCAGUUCACAUGAUAAGGUGAAUAGAAUAAGUUACAGAACAGGCUGUAGAGUAUGAUCUUAUUUGUAGAUGUUUAAAACUGAGUCAUAAGUAUGCUUAUAUACAGAUCGUUUCUGGAAGUAUGUACUGGAAGUCUACCUCUGGGGAGUGGGGAUGGGGGAGUGCACUCUUCUAUACUGUUAUAUUUUCUUUUCAUGCUCCUAAGGUACUUUUAUUGGAAGAUGUAAAGCGGUUCAAUGUAAUAGGCUUAACUUCUGUCAACUAAGUUGGCGUGGGUGCUUUAAGAGGGUGGUAGUGAUGUUGCUGGAGAAAGUAUCCCACAGUCACUGGUGGCUUCAGCCACGGGCCAUUUUGGGGCCUAAUAAUCACAUAUCAUCAUGGUUGCUAGUGUUAAUCGAAAACCUACUAAGUGCCAGGCUUACUGUCUCUGGGUCUUGCUUACGUGGAUGUCAUUUUUCCAGUUGCACCAAAUCGAAAGAGGUUAAUUGGUUUGUUGGAGUUCCUUUGUAGGUGAAGGGCAGAGCCAGGAGCUUGGCUAGGGACAGGGGAGGUGAGUGGGGGAUGGUGGAUAGGUCUUGGCUCCCAGUUUCCUUCUGGGCAGACAUUGCCCCUCUGCCCUGAGGACCUGCUUGUUUGGGGGAAGAGGCCUUUAGAGGCACCAGGGUCAUGCCAGGUGUUGGACAUGGUGAACUGGGAAGUGCUCCCAUCUGGCCACAGCGCAGAAGUAUCACCGUGCUGGGGGAUGGGGAACAGGGCUGUGAAUGGGCCUAUUUGCAUAAGCAGCAUGUGUCUGGAGAGAAAGACAUCACAGAGCAGAAGAGUGCGGGUGCCCAGGAGUGCACUUGCCACCCCUACUUCAUCCCUGAAAGAGUAAAUGGCCUGGAAGGUGUCUCUGAGAGGUAAUGCCGCACACCACCCUCCCUGGGGGCAGGGUCAGGCUACACCUGCCUUAGGUCGGGGGCUGCAGCAGCCUGAGAGCUCUCAGUAGGGCCUCAGUAGCCUGGGAGGGAGCAGGGGCAGGGGGCAGGGAAAGAGGCGUAAUGGGGCUGUCCAGAGGGGCCUGGGAAACCUGGUCCCUGAGGCCUGGGCACAGCUACAAUCACUUCAAAUUGGCUGUGGGGCCAGUGGACUGGGAAGGAAAAAAGCAAUAAGAGUGACCAAGUGCAGAAGGCUGUCAGGUCCCAGGUCACAUGCCUUAGUGCAGUGACUCCUCAUCAUUUUAUGGGGUGUGGGUGUCGUUGGUACACCCAUUUUACAGAUGAGGACACCGAGGCCCAGAAAAGUUAAGUUACAUGUCCUAAGUCACACAGCUUGUAAGUGCCAGAACUGAGAUCAAAACCAAGUCUCUUUGACUUUAAAGUCUGUACUCUGACCCCAAAGAGAUCCUGUUUGGCCACUUAUAGGAGGUCCCUAAAGCUGCAGACUCCCCUUGCCGGCACCCACAUAUAGAGACAUUAACCCUUCCCCUGCAGGGUCACCUCAAAUAGUCUUUUAGCUGGGCUUCUCCUGCAAUUCCACCUAAUGCCAUCCCCUGGGUUUUGCCCAAACCUGAACUGGGCAGUGGGGUGAGAGGAGGGGUUUACAGGGUUACAGAGCCUCAUACAGAUAGGAGCCCAUGGCUGCUGGUCAUCUGCAUUCCUGCAGGAUUGGCUGUUCCUUGGGGUCCUUGGCAGGAAAAUGAGGAUUGCUCCGAGGCCUGCUCCAGUACUUCCCAGAGGCUGGCCUGGUGUGGGGCUCUGGGAAGGCUGAGGCUGGAGAAGCGUAAGUAGGAGGGCAGAGAUGGCACUCAGGUAGCUUGAAUCACCAGGACCCUUCCAAGCCCCACAGGUUCUGAGGGAGUACUAGGGCCAGCUCUGGGAGAGGUCUCUUCCUAUGCUGUGAACCCCCUGCCUUUCUUGCAGCCUACAACGAAUAAAUUUUCUUUGCAA